GUUUUGUUUCUGGUAAUCUCUUUGCAUGUUUUCAGCACAAAAGUGAUUACUUCCUCGGAAAUCUAGAUACUCAGCCUGUGUUUGAACGAACGUGUCCAAUGCAAUGCUCGCCUCGAAGGAAGCUUUCUUGCUAAAGGAUGCCAGUUGUCAUAGUGGAUUAAACGUGCUUUUGAUCACUCUGCAAAAGCUGCUGAUGCACCGAAGACCAGAUUCUUUAACCACAGUGGGGGACACCUCUAUUGUAACUGCUUUGGCCCUCGGAUUCAAAAUGCAGUUUUUUGGUUUGGGUUUUUUUUUUUUUUUGUGUCAAUAGAAAAAGAAAAUGGGCAUACGUUAAAGCUGGUACUCUUGUUUACCCAGCAUUUUUUUUACCCUGUUUGGGUAGCACAAAUUGCACAUCACUUUUAUUUACUGGAGUUUUUUUUUGGUCCAAUCCAAGUUAUAUUUUACCAGUCAUUGCGUAGCUCUAAUGGCUUUCUGGCUGCCUUAAUCAGUG